CUGCUGCUCGUCAGUGCAAAAUGCAGAGUUUGCAUGCAGCCUUAAUUAGAAGUCUCCGCAACCUGCCUUGCGCCGUUCUCCAUGCACCAUGCGCCGCGGCGCUGCGCUAAGACGUCGUUUCCUCAUUCCGAGACCAACAUCCUACAUUCGUCUAAACAUAGUUCCUCUACUGGAAAUAGACAGCGUGCGUCUCACAAAUUCACCCUGCGACAGUGUCUUGCCAAACGCAGAAGAUUUCGUCAAACGUGCCACUCCGGCUUGCCACGUAUUGGCUAUCGCUCCAGCAGAAAUCGCACAAAGGCACGUCUUCACUUCUUUAGCGGUAAGAGACACCGUCACUGGCACCAGAACCCGGCUAUACGGUUCUCUCUGCCGCAGGAAGCCAACGAUAAGCAUACUGCCAGCGCCUGGCCAUCACUCCCAUAUGACACACAAGGUGCCGCAGGAUGACAAGGUCCUACCUGGAGUCCGACGGAAGGGCAGGACGUGAGAUCGGCUUCCUCCUUCCAGCAGUGGACAGAGGAGUUUUUCCAGUCAGAAAUGGAGCCAUCGAGUCGCGUCUAGAGACAGCAUACUUUCAAGCGACUCCUGGGCCCCCCUUUUUGUUAGAUCCCAAGCGAAAUGCAGCCCCUCCUUCACCCCUGCCCCCCGAUUGCCUUGGAGACGUCCAGCGUGAAAGGAUACGAGGGAAUGGUAAAGCUGUACCCAUUCUCCCAAUAGAGUGGAACUACACGGUGAGGCAUUAGUUCCAGUCGAAGUGCCACAUGGCCUGGCUGUACUGGACACACUUAAGUUCAUUAAGAAAAUCGGUGCUAUAUCCAGAGUAUUUAUGUGUACAAAGUUAUGAACGCUGCAUCAUCCAGCUACUCGUAAGCAGACGAGGCUUGCUCAGCAAUGUAUUAUGUCUGGCAGCCGUAAGCUGCAAUGCAUGCGUGAUGCAGGUGAUUUUUCUUGACUUUUUUUCUGGGAUAAAUUAGGCACUGCGAAACAUUGUUCAGCAUUGCCCAGAAUUAUGAGUGGGUCUUUAAACAUGCCAGAUGUUUACUGUAAUGCACCCGAACUUUGCAAAUGCUCAUGUUUUAUAAUCGGUGUUAGCGUACAUGUCGG
rnacentral:lncRNA from 1 species